rnacentral:rRNA from 1 species
GACGAACGCUGGCGGCGUGCUUAACACAUGCAAGUCGAGCGAGGCCCAUCCUUCGGGGUGGUGCCCUAGCGGCGAACGGGUGAGUAACACGUGGGCAACCCGCCCUCAGCUCUGGGAUAACUCCAAGAAAUUGGUGCUAAUACCGGAUGUGACCGCUGACCGCCUGGUCUGGUGGUGGAAAGAUUCAUCGGCUGAGGAUGGGCCCGCGGCCUAUCAGCUUGUUGGUGGGGUAAUGGCCCACCAAGGCGACGACGGGUAGCCGGCCUGGGGAGGUGACCGGCCACACUGGGACUGAGACACGGCCCAGACUCCUACGGGAGGCAGCAGUGGGGAAUAUUGUGCAAUGGGCGAAAGCCUGACGCAGCGACGCCGCGUGAGGGAUGACGGCCUGCGGGUUGUAAACCUCUUUCAGUAGGGACGAAGCGAAAGUGACGGUACCUACAGAAGAAGCACCGGCCAACUACGUG